CCCCCUGCCACCGCGCACAGCUUUGUCAUUGAGGAGGCAGGACACACAAGGCCCCCGGUGCCCACUGGUCUCCCUCGUUGGCAGACGCUGAGUGACCCGGUCAGCGGCAGGACGGGCCUCUCCAGAUCAGCUACCUUCGGCCACUUUUGCAGCAUUACCUGCAGAUUGUAAUUAAGAGAUAAUGUCACUGGGAGGACGUUGUCACCGGGUAAUGGUCUCCCGCGGCUUCCGAAAUGUCAAGGCAAAGUCACGGCAUUAACCAGGAAUGAACAUUGGCGGGAGGCGCCUUGGUUCCCGCAGUGGGGAACCUCAGUCCUGCGGCAGCCAUGGCGCAGGGUCCUCUAGGGAUGACGGAGGCCAGCUGACGAGGUGGCCCGAAGACGAGGGCUCUUGCCGGUGUGGGAGCCCGGCUGCCCGCGGGUGGCGGUGCCUGAUGGGCUCCAGGAGGGUCCGGCUGCCCUCCCUGCCCAGGACCACAGCCCUGCUCUGUGUGGCCAAGGUGCAGGUGGCCCGGGUCCCAGGUCCCGAUCGGGCAGGGCCUUCUCUGCAGCUGGCCGCCGUGGCCUGCUGAUGGGCGUGGAGAGGGCUGUUCUCUGACAGGUCCUCCUCCUGCCCCCGUGGGCUCCCGGGGACCGGCUGGUGAUGCAGCGGCCACCCCUGGACAACCUCAGUUUCCGCAUCGCCACCCAAGAAGCAGGCAGCGGGGAGGCCGGCGGGGCAUGGAGAGGGGCCUCGCUGUCCAGGAGGCACACACAGCUGGCUUGGUGGCUGGCAUGGCCGAGGCCUCUGCUGCCCGCUCCUCGGGGUCUUUCUUGGGUGCAGAUCUGCUCUGGCAGCUGCCCAGCUCCGUCCUGCUCUGAGCGAAGGCUCAGGUGCCCGGAGACCGGGCUCCAGCUGCUGCCCAGGGCUCUGUCCUACUGCUGGCCACCAUCCAGGGCCUCCAGCCUGCCCCUUCCCCUUGGGACGCCUCCCCCAGGAAGUCCCCCGGGGGCCCUCGCCACAGUCCUCAGCCCCUGGGUCCCCGUCUCCCUGAGCUGCGCGUUUCCACCGGGGCCUGUUGGGUGGCGUCCCCUGCUGUCACCUGCCGGCGGAUCACACACACCACCAGCCAGUGACUCCGACAGUGAGCAUCCACUGGGCUCCUGUGUCCGCAGGCCAGCGAUGGAGGCCAGGCUGCCCCACGGUGGUGCUGGCUGUCGGCUGCUCCCCGGGGGGACGUCAGCAGGGACAGUGUGUCAGCCCGCGGUCACUGUGACCUGGUAUCAGAAAGCCACUUGGCGGACAGAGGAUGACUGCGACUCUCAGUCCAGAGGCCCCACUACGCGGGCCCAAGGUGGGGUAACACCGUGGUGGACAGAGCUGUCCGCCCAUGGUGGCCAGGGAGCGGAGAGGGAGAGAGAACGGGACCUGGACAAGGCACAGUCCCCAGGGACACGCUCCUGAGGCUCCACCCGUCCUGCAGGCCGUUAGCCCGAGUCACGGUGGGUUGAUCCCUGCGGUCAGGGCCCCACGGUCCUUGCUGCGCCCCAGCUGCGAGGCCUGGGUCCACCCCGGCCCCUCUGCCCAGGGGAGGCCGGUCCUCAUCCUGCCUGCCUCUGUCCCCGAAGGAGGACCUGCUUUGACCUAAGGAGCGUGGGUGGGUGGGCUGCUGCCUACCCCAAGAGCCCUGGCGCCGUCCUGCGGUCUGUCCAGCCCAGCUUUCCCUCGGCUCCGAGGGGGACGAGAAAUGGCAGGACCACCAAGCCCAGCUCGCAGGGAGGCCCCGCCGGGUGGCAGCCGUGAAAGCCAUGAUGGAGGUCAGGGUGCUGGGUCUUCGUCCAGCAGCAUGGGGUGGGGGGUGGACGGUAGUUAGCGGACACAUCUCCCGGUGCCUCCUUCCACAGGCAAGAAGCCAAGGUCCAAGUGGACGGGGAUCUUCUUGAGCUGUCCUGGGGCUGAGCCCCAUGAGCCCCAGCCCUACUGGCUGCCCUUGCAGUUUUUCUGAGCACCUACUAUGUGCCUGGGCUGGAAGCUGGAGCUGCCCAGUGGACACGACCCUCCGCCUGUGAGCUGCCCCUGUGAAGGCACCUCUGUCCUAGAGGGUCAGUACAGGUCCACCGUGAGUGAUCGGCCACAGCGAUCAUCCCCAGCCCUGGCCACGUCACUGCAUGUGCCGCAGACUCUAGGCUGCUAAGAGAGGGACUGGCCAACCUGGCAUGCAGAGAACUCCAGGCCAGCGCCUCGCAGGAGAGCCAGGCCAGCUCAGAGGGCCUGGGCCAGCGCUUCCUACCCCCGCUCUCCCGGCCUCCAGAACAGUGCCCGGCAUACAAAAUUUAGAAGCUUCUAGAAGACAGCCCAUCUGCAUCUGCCACUUGGAGACCUGAGUGUCUGUUAGGGUCCGUGCUCCACAGCGGUGACAGGGACGCCCCGAUGUGCACGGGUUAAGCAGACGCAGGUGGGUUUGACGGAGGAGCCCGGGCAGGCGGCUGUGCCAGGGACCCCGAGCUCCAUGCCACCGUUGUUUGAGGACUGGAUCCUUUCCUCUUGUCCCUGUCACCCGAGGCCCAGCAGAAGUGGAGUCGGAACUUGAUCCACACUGGGGGUCUCGGGAAGGGGAGGGGUCCCUGGGGUCCUUCCUGGUGUGCACGGAGGUGGGAGGUGGCGUCCGACCAGCAGGGCCCUGUGUCCAGCUCCAGCUGCGUUCCUGCCCCAGGAGGCCCUCCGGCUGUUGCCUUGUACAUCUGGGCUCCGAUACCCUGCUCAUGAAGUGAGGAGACGGGCUCAGGAAGUCAGGUCACUGCCCAGGUCACACAGCAAGGCCAUUACAGAACCAGGGCCUGGAGCCAGGCUGCCUCUGGGGGCCCGGGAGGGCUGCUGCUCUCCGCGCUGCCUGGCCUGCGCUCCCCCCUGGAGCCUGUGCACAGGGCAGCAAGGAGGACCGGGCGGGAGGCCGGGUGUGAGGAGGAGAGGCCGUGCUGGGUGUGUAGGCGUCCAGGCAGCCUGGAGCUCAGCUGCCCCAUCACAGGACAUUCUGGGGCCCUGGGAGGCCUCCCGGAGGCUGGUGCCCGAGGUCGGCUCAGAAGCACGGCAUGUCUCCCAGGCAGCUGGGCUGGGGUCUCCCUGGGCUGGGGGUCUCCUGUGGGCUGGGGUCUCCCCAUGGGCUAGGGUCUCCCUGUGGGCUGCAGUCUCCUGUGGGCUGGGGUCUCCCGUGGGCUGGGGUCUCCCGUGGGCUGGGGUUUCCCCGUGGGCUGCAGUCUACUGUGGGCUGGGGUCUCCCGUGGGCUGGGGUCUCCCGUGGGCUGGGGUCUCCCGUGGGCUGGCAGCCCUGGUGGGCUCGUGGCCUCCCGGCGCCCCUCCCUCCUGCCUGCGGGCCUCCUGGGCCUCCUGAGCUUCAGUGUCCUCUCCGCUGAGACAGGAUGAAGGCAACUCCCACGGGGGUGGGGAGGGGGCUGUGGACGGCCAGCGGCCCUGGGCUGUAUCUGGGUUUCUCCAGGGAGGGGCAGGCAGCUCUGACCCCCGCUCAGCUCAGGCCCAGGAAUGUCAUCGUGUGGCUCCCGCGGAGGGCAGAGGCUGGGCAGGGAGCCCCUCCUCGCGGCCCUGACAAAUAGA